GACGAACGCUGGCGGCGUGCUUAACACAUGCAAGUCGAGCGGUAAGGCCCUUUUGGGGGUACACGAGCGGCGAACGGGUGAGUAACACGUGGGUGACCUGCCCUCAGCUCUGGGAUAAGCCUGGGAAACUGGGUCUAAUACUGGAUAUGACCUUUCCUCGCAUGGGGGUUGGGUGGAAAGUUUUUCGGCUGGGGAGUGGGCCCGCGGCCUAUCAGCUUGUUGGUGGGGUGAUGGCCUACCAAGGCGACGACGGGUAGCCGGCCUGAGAGGGCGACCGGCCACACUGGGACUGAGACACGGCCCAGACUCCUACGGGAGGCAGCAGUGGGAAUAUUGCGCAAUGGGCGGAAGCCUGACGCAGCGACGCCGCGUGGGGGAUGACGGCCU
rnacentral:rRNA from 1 species